CUGGAGAUGAUGUAGAAAUCACUGCUGACUGUUAGUGAUGGUUGUAGUAUUCAUACUGGCUGAUCCAG